rnacentral:rRNA from 1 species
GAUGAACGCUGGCGGCGUGCCUAACACAUGCAAGUCGAGCGGCAGCGAGGGGUGCUUGCACCCUGUCGGCGAGCGGCGGACGGCUGAGUAACGCGUGGGAACGUGCCCCAAAGUGAGGAAUAACUGCCCGAAAGGGUAGCUAAUACCGCAUAUUAUCUUCGGAUCAAAGGAUUUAUCCGCUUUGGGAGCGGCUCGCGUCGGAUUAGGUAGUUGGUGAGGUAAUGGCUCACCAAGCCGACGAUCCGUAGCUGGUCUGAGAGGAUGACCAGCCAGACUGGAACUGAGACACGGUCCAGACUCCUACGGGAGGCAGCAGUGAGGAAUCUUCCACAAUGGGCGAAAGCCUGAUGGAGCAACGCCGCGUGCAGGACGAAGGCCUUCGGGUUGUAAACUGCUUUUAUAAGCGAGGAAUAUGACGGUAACUUAUGAAUAAGGAUCGGCUAACUACGUG